CCUACGGGUGGCAGCAGUAGGGAAUCUUCCACAAUGGGCGAAAGCCUGAUGGAGCAACGCCGCGUGGGUGAAGAAGGUCUUCGGAUCGUAAAACCCUGUUGUUAGAGAGGAAAGUGCGUGAGAGUAACUGUUUUCGUUUCGACGGUAUCUAACCAGAAAGCCACGGCUAACUACGUGCCAGCAGCCGCGGUAAUACGUAGGUGGCAUGCGUUAUCCGGAUUGAUUGGGCGUAAAGGGAACGCAGGCGGUCCUUUAAGCCUGAUGUGAAAGCGUUCGGCUUAACCGGAGUAGUGCAUUGGAAACUGGGGGACUUGAGUGCACGAGAGGAGGGUGGAACUCGAGGUGUAGCGGUGAAAUGCGUAGAUAUAAGGAAGAACACCAGUGGCGAAGGCGGCUCUCUGGUCUGUAACUGACGCUGAGGUUCGAAAGCGCGGGUAGCGAACAGGAUUAGAUACCCUUGUAGUC
rnacentral:rRNA from 1 species